CUGAUGCUGGACAAGAACAAUCUGGUCAAGUAUGACAAGAAGACGGGCAACUUCCAGGUGACAGAACUGGGCCGUAUAGCCAGCCACUACUACAUCACCAAUGAUACAGUGCAGACUUACAACCAGCUGCUGAAGCCCACCCUGAGUGAGAUUGAGCUUUUCAGGGUCUUCUCGUUGUCCUCUGAGUUCAAGAACAUCACAGUGAGAGAGGAGGAGAAGCUAGAGCUGCAGAAGUUGCUGGAGAGGGUGCCCAUCCCUGUAAAGGAGAGCAUUGAGGAACCCAGUGCCAAGAUCAACGUUCUUCUGCAAGCCUUCAUCUCACAGCUGAAAUUGGAGGGCUUUGCACUGAUGGCUGACAUGGUGUAUGUCACACAGUCGGCUGGCCGGUUGAUGCGAGCGAUAUUUGAAAUUGUCCUGAACCGAGGUUGGGCACAGCUUACAGACAAGACCCUGAACCUCUGCAAGAUGAUCGACAAACGCAUGUGGCAGUCCAUGUGUCCUCUGCGCCAGUUCCGGAAACUCCCUGAGGAAGUAGUGAAGAAGAUUGAAAAGAAGAAUUUCCCCUUUGAGCGUCUGUACGACCUGAAUCAUAAUGAGAUUGGGGAGCUUAUCCGCAUGCCAAAGAUGGGGAAGACCAUCCACAAAUAUGUCCAUCUGUUUCCCAAGUUGGAGUUGUCAGUGCACCUGCAGCCUAUCACACGCUCCACCCUGAAGGUGGAGCUGACCAUCACGCCGGACUUCCAGUGGGAUGAAAAGGUGCAUGGUUCAUCCGAGGCUUUCUGGAUUCUGGUGGAGGACGUGGACAGCGAGGUGAUUCUGCACCAUGAGUAUUUUCUCCUCAAGGCCAAGUACGCCCAGGACGAGCACCUCAUUACGUUCUUCGUGCCUGUCUUUGAACCGCUGCCCCCUCAGUACUUCAUCCGAGUGGUGUCUGACCGCUGGCUCUCUUGCGAGACCCAGCUGCCUGUCUCCUUCCGGCACCUGAUCUUGCCGGAGAAGUACCCACCUCCAACCGAACUUUUGGACCUGCAGCCCUUGCCCGUGUCUGCUCUGAGAAACAGUGCCUUUGAGAGUCUUUACCAAGAUAAAUUUCCUUUCUUCAAUCCCAUCCAGACCCAGGUGUUUAACACUGUGUACAACAGUGACGACAACGUGUUUGUGGGGGCCCCCACGGGCAGCGGGAAGACCAUUUGUGCAGAGUUUGCCAUCCUGCGGAUGCUGCUACAGAGCUCGGAGGGGCGCUGUGUGUACAUCACCCCCAUGGAGGCCCUGGCAGAGCAGGUAUGACAUGGUGCUGUGUCAUGUGAAUUUCCCAAGAAGCAUUUCACCUGUGAUUCCGUGUAACAGCUUUCUAAGCCCUGAAAUUUGCAGGGUCGUUUCCUCAGUUUGUGUAUUAAAGAAAAGCCGCCCCAGCCAAGCGUGGUGGCUCACGCCUGUAAUCCCAGCACUUUGGGAGGCCGAGGCGGGCAGAUCUGAGAUCAGGAGUUCGAGACCAGCCUGGUCAACAUGGUGACCCUGUCUCUACAAAAAAUACAAAAAUUAGCUGGGCGUGGUGGCGUGCGCUGUAAUCCCAGCUACUUGGAAGGCUGAGGCAGGAGAAUCGCUUGAACCCAGGAGGCGGAGGUUGCAGUGAGUCAGGA
rnacentral:sRNA from 1 species